GACUGUUCUGGUGGCCUAGUUGUUAGAGCGCCCGCCUCGGAUGCGAAAGGUCGUGGGUUCGAUACCAGGCCGAGUCA